ACAGCAGUCGCCGCGGGAAUACGGAGGGUGCAAGCGUUAUCCGGAUUUAUUGGGUUUAAAGGGUCCGUAGGCGGAUCUGUAAGUCAGUGGUGAAAUCUCACAGCUUAACUGUGAAACUGCCAUUGAUACUGCAGGUCUUGAGUAAAUUUGAAGUGGCUGGAAUAAGUAGUGUAGCGGUGAAAUGCAUAGAUAUUACUUAGAACACCAAUUGCUAAGGCAGGUCACUAAGAUUUAACUGACGCUGAUGGACGAAAGCGUGGGGAGCGAACAGGAUUAGAGACCCGCGUAGUCCCUGUCUCUUAUAC
rnacentral:rRNA from 1 species